CACAAUGAGGGACGUCUGCAGUGACUGAGAAAGAGUCUCACCACAUCCUGACAUGAGGAAAAAGACUUUAUUGAAGACUACAAUGAGAAAAACUAUCAGACAGCAGACGGCUGCAUUCAAGUCUGUAGCUGCUGAAUUCAUGGAUGAAUCAUCUGGCACUAGAGAGGAAGACCAUCAAACAUCCACGUCAGCUGAUGGAGGUCCAAGAGUCUCACCCAACAAACAACCUAGAGUGAAGACCUCAAAUCUGAUUGGACGGCCUCCUAUUCAGCCACAUAUAAGACAAGUACAAGAUUGUUCAGAGCCGUUCUACCACGAUCCUGACAGGAAGAACUCCAACAGCUACUGAA
ensembl:lncRNA